AGAGAUCAGACGCUGUUACUGUCACAGUUCAUCCUGGAGCUGAUAGGAAUGUGAUUGUGAUCGCAGCAACAUCUGGAGGAUUAUUCAUCAUCAUCAUCAUCAUCAUCAUCAUCAUCAUAUGGUUUAUAAUGAAACAAAGGUGUGUUAAAACUGAAGAUAACAGAGUGAAACAGGUAAAACAUUCAAACACAACUUUACAGAAGCAGAAAAUCAAUCCAUC